AAAAGGGGCCCAAGUAAGCAUUAUUCUUGGUUUUCGCAUCAUAACUUUAGUAUAAGUAAAUAGAAAUCUAUGAAAUUUCAACACAAGGUUCAUGACCACUAAAGGAAGGUUGGGUUUGAUUUUGGGAGUUUUGGUCCCAACAGUUUAGGAAUAAGGGGCCCAAAGGGUCCAAAAUUGAACUUUGUUUGAUUUCAUCAAAAAUUAUCUCCACAGUAUCCAAAUAAUAGGAAAACAUUCAUAAAGAUAGACUAGAAUGAGAUUUACAGAUCAAUUAGAAGACAUGACUGAUUUCCAAAUUUUGCCUCUUUUCAGAAAGGGGUACUGCUUUAAUAGUGGGGUUAUUUUUAUUAAUACAGCCAAACAGUUCUUAUAAUAGCAUUUUUUAUGUUCAAAUAUGGCUACUUAAUGAAACUAAGUAAAUGAUUUAUUUUUUUAAGACAUGUCAUUAUUGUUAUAGGUACCAGUCUUGUAUUACAACUCCAGUUUCCGGUGCAUGUCAAAACAUGGAGGGAAACAAAAUAGUGCAUUUUUUCUGAAUUUUUUUCUGAACUCAAUUUUUUCUGUUUGAUUAUAGGUUUAUGCUGAAUUGAAACAUAUAUAUAGACUUUUAAAAAAAUCAUGCAUCUUUUGGGGAUAUCAAUCCAGGAAAGUGGAAGGAUAUCAUGUUUACUGGAAGUGGUGCGGCCUAGUAAAAAUAGCAAACAGAAAGUAGAAAAAAAAUCAAUUGACAUCAGGAUUGCGUAACUUUUUAUUCUUCGUGGCAAGACCCC
rnacentral:lncRNA from 1 species